rnacentral:rRNA from 1 species
AACGAACGCUGGCGGCAGGCUUAACACAUGCAAGUCGAGCGCCCCGCAAGGGGAGCGGCAGACGGGGGAGUAACGCGUGGGAAUCUACCCAUCUCUACGGAAUAACGCAUGGAAACGUGUGCUAAUACCGUAUCCGUCCUUCGGGAGAAAGAUUUAUAGGAGAGGGAUGAGCCCGCGUUGGAUUAGCUAGUUGGUGGGGUAAGGGCCUACCAAGGCGACGAGCCAUAGCUGGUCUCAGAGGAUGAUCAGCCACACUGGGACUAGAGACACGGCCCAGACUCCUACGGGAGGCAGCAGUGGGGAAUAUUGGACAAUGGGCGCAAGCCUGAUCCAGCCAUGCCGCGUGAGUGAUGAAGGCCCUAGGGUUGUAAAGCUCUUUCACCGGUGAAGAUAAUGACGGUAACCGGAGAAGAAGCCCCGGCUAACUUCGUGCCAGCCGCCGCCGUAAGAC